rnacentral:rRNA from 1 species
AUUGAACGCUGGAGGCAGGCCUAACACAUGCAAGUAGAACGAGUGGCGGACGGGUGAGUAAUGUCUGGGAAACUGCCAGAUGGAGGGGGAUAACUACUGGAAACGGUAGCUAAUACCGCAUACCAUCGGAUGUGCCAAGAUGGGAUUAGCUUGUAGGUGAGGUAACGGCUCAACUAGGCGACGAUCCCUAGCUGGUCUGAGAGGAUGACCAGCCACACUGGAACUGAGACACGGUCCAGACUCCUACGGGAGGCAGCAGUGGGGACUAUUGGACCAUGGGCGAAAGCCUGAUCCAGCCAUGCCGCGUGUGUGAAGAAGGUCUUCGGAUUGUAAAGCACUUUAAGUUGGGAGGCGUUACCAACAGAAUAAGCACCGGCUAACUUCGUGCCAGCAGCCGCGGUAAUAC